rnacentral:rRNA from 1 species
GACGAACGCUGGUGGCGUGCCUAAUACAUGCAAGUCGAGCGGACCAAUAGAAGCUUGCUUCUGUUGGUUAGCGGCGGACGGGUGAGUAACACGUGGGCAACCUGCCUGUAAGACUGGGAUAACUUCGGGAAACCGGAGCUAAUACCGGAUAAUUCAUCCCCUCGCAUGAGGGGAUGCUGAAAGUCGGUUUACGCUGACACUUACAGAUGGGCCCGCGGCGCAUUAGCUAGUUGGUGAGGUAAUGGCUCACCAAGGCGACGAUGCGUAGCCGACCUGAGGGGGUGAUCGGCCACACUGGGACUGAGACACGGCCCAGACUCCUACGGGAGGCAGCAGUAGGGAAUCUUCCACAGUGGACGAAAGUCUGAUGGAGCAACGCCGCGUGAGCGAUGAAGGCCUUCGGGUCGUAAAGCUCUGUUGUUAGGAAAGAACAAGUAUCGGAGUAACUGCCGGUACCUUGACGGUACCUAACCAGAAAGCCACGGCUAACUACGUGCCAGCCGCCGCAGUAA